CGCCACGCCCCCGGCAGGUCCUUCUGCGCACCUCUCAGCGGCGGGAAGGGACCGCCGAGCGCCGCCCAGAGAAGAGCCAGGGGUCGCUGUGGUCCUCUGCAUGUAGGCCGCCGCCGCGCUCUUGGGCCUCGUAGGUGCCAGGAAAGCCCUGCCUAAAUCCGGCGAAUCCCACCCAUGCUCUCCUCCCUUCCAGGUCCUUCUGAAGAUGUAUUAUUUAUCAAGCAAAAAGGAGAAUUGGCAUCUCCCAUAACCAAGAGAGCAGCCCAGGUGUAAGAGGGAGAUUGGGGCGGAUGAAAGCUGUUUUUCAAGGCAAGAGAAGAGAGAGAAGCCAGACAAGAUGGUGAAAGAUCAGAGAAAUAUGAGAGACCCAGAAGAAUGUUUGUGUCAUGGAAGCCAAAGGGAGAGAGAAUCUUGGAAAGAGAUCUUUGGAAAUCUCAAGGAGGAUGGGGACUGAGAAAUGGCCACUGGAGUUAAGUCAGUAACCGCACACCAAACAGUUCACAAGGUGGGAGGAGCUGGGAUUGCUGGCAGGGAAGUGUUGGCCAAGGAGAACUUUAUAUUCUUACCAUCUAUUUCUACUUCUUGAAAUAUUUUACCAUAAGAAUAUAUCCUCAUGUAAAAAUUUUUAACAUAUAGUAAUUUUUAAAGAAAAAAGUCAGAAUCCUCUCUGGGCCUUCCACCCCUGCUUUCUGCAAGUACCCACUUCUGGGAGUUUAGAGCACAUGCUUGUACACGGCUAGGAGUGCAAAAUGGCACAGCCCCAGGGAGGGCAAUUUGGCAACAAAAAAGAAAAAAACAUUUAAAUGAUACCUCAAUAAAGUUCUUUUAAAAAGUUACAAAUGCAUAAACCCUCUAGAUACAUUCACAAACAUGCGAAAUGAUACUGUGUACAAAGAUAUUCACUGUAACUUUAUUUGUUACAGGAAGAGUCUAGGAAUAAUCUGUGUCUUCCAAUAAGGGAUAGUUAAAUAAACUGUGCUACAGUCACACAAUGGAAUCUCAUGCUGCUACUAAAAGAAAAAAGAAAAAAAGAGAGAAGGAAGCUCUCCCUAUAGUGAUAUGGAAAGAUUUCCAAAAUAGAUUAAAUGAAAAAAACAAGAUACAGAGCAGUUGUAUGCUCCUUUUAUGUAAGCAAGGAGGCAGAAGAAGAAUACGCUUAUACAUAGUAGUGUAAUAUAUUUUAAUUUACAUAUGUUUGCAUAAAGAAACUCUAGAGUGAUAAGAAACAAAUGGAAUUGUUUAUCUGGAGUGAAGGGUGUAGACGGAGACAGGUGGGAUUAUUCUAGAUCACUUUCUCAUUUAUGUACACAGUGUCAUUAGAUCCUUAAAGCAAAUCUGAGGCAAGUAUUAUUCUCCUGAUUUUACAGAAGAAGACUGGAAAGACUAAGUCACUUACUUGCCCGGUUACCAACUUACACAGCUGGUGAACAUGGAGCCCAGUUCCAGCAUAGCUCUGCCUAACUCCAAAGUCCAUGCUGCAACAUCGUUCACACUGUGCCCUGAAUAAACGUGGGCCCCUUGUCUUCAGAUUUAUGAUCUGAAGUAAAUGACAUCAAAGGCAGAAUAAUCAAAGGUCAGAGGCAAACACAUUUUAAGGUGUUUAUACAAAUACAAGGGACUAGAGAUCAGGAGACAUUUUUUAUCAAGUGGACUGGUUUUACUGGCAGUUUGUAUUUCUGUAUUUGUUCCUUUGUUGACUUCCUGGCUUUUCAGAUGUCUAUUUUGGAAUAAAUAAGUGGAGGAGGGGGUGGAAAGUUGAUCUACUUUAUGUGGUA